rnacentral:lncRNA from 1 species
UUUCAUUGCACACCAAACACAUCAUUUUGUUUUCGAAACCACGUGGAUUUUCACUCACAAUAAUUUUCAGUGAUGUCGCACAAGAGGAAGUAUCCGUUCUAGAUAAUUUAUUGAGAUUCAGAGCAACAUACUGUAAUGAACUAUUAAAUUUGUGGACGCACAUGUGGAGAAGAAGGCAUAAGCUAGCUAUUAUGAUGCAUAACAAUAAACAAUUUGAUAGAGAAGAUUGGAUUUGGAAGGAGUUAAGAUUAGUUAGUAAAUAUAUUGUAUCAUAUGAUGAGCUAAUUAGUUAUAUGCAUUUGGAGUUGUUCUGUUUGAGCUUAUAUCUGGGAAGCAAGCUAUUGUGAAGACAACUGAGGAUAAGAAUGAAUCAAAAGGACUAGUUGCACUGCUUGAAGAAGUUCUUGGUCUUUCAGAACCAAAAGAAGAUCUUGGUAAACUUGUUGACCCUAGGCUUGGUGAAAAUUACCCUAUUGACUCAGUAUUUAAGAUGUCUCAGCUUGCUAAAGCAUGUACACAUGAAAAUCCUCAACUUAGACCAAGCAUGAGAUCAAUUGUAGUUGCCUUAAUGACAUUAUCAUCAGCAGCUGAGGAUUGGGAUGUUGGCUCCUUCUAUGAAAACCAAGCAUUAGUCCAUUUAAUGUCUGGAAGGUAGCACAGUUUUGCUAGCUACCUAGU